GGAAUCAUCACCCCGAGUGCCUCCCAUAGCCAGCGCUUGACAAAUGGGCAAGAUUCAGUCCAAGCCUAUGGGCUCAGCCCUUUGUUUCCCAGAGCCUCAGCCUCCAUGCCUAUUCACCCACACACUACCAGCCCCUCCACCCAGGAACAGCAUCAGCAACCACGCAGAGAGGAGCCCAUUGCUGCUGAAGGUGAGAGGCUGUCCUCUGCCUGCUUUCAGGACUCCUGGUUCUCAGGCUGCUAGACCUGAACUGGAAUCUACAGCCACUGGCUCUCUGGCUUUCAGGUCUUCAAACUACAUCACCAGCUUUCCUGGGCCUGAACCUUGCCAAUGACAGAUUGUGGGACUUCUCAGCCUCCAUAAACAUAGUCUCGCUUUGGUGCCCAGGCUGGUGUGCAGUGGCACCAUCACAGCUCACUGAAGCCUCAACCUCCCAGGCAAUUCUACCUCAGCCUCCCGAGUAGCUGGGACUACAGGCAUGCACCACCACACCCGACUAAUUUUUGUAUUUAUGUUGCCUAGACUGGUCCCAGAAUCUUGGCCUUAAGUGACCUUCUCGCCUCUGGUUCCCAAAGUGUACAGGCAUGAACAACCACACCUGGCCUGAUUUUCUAUUAAUAAUAAUUAUAUACCCUAGUAUUAAUAUAUGUAGUUAUCCUCCUGCCCUGUCUUUCAAGUUUCUAAAAAACAAAAUUAUACCUCUACAAGCCUUGUAUAAUUUUCUUUUUUUUUUCUUUUUUUUUUUUUUGAGAUGGAGUCUCGCUCUGUCGCCCAGGCUGGAGGGCAGUGACGCAAUCUUGCCUCACUGCAAGCUCCGCCUCCAGGUCCACGACAUUCUCCUGCCUCAGCCUCCCUAGUAGCUGACACUACAGGCACCCGCCACCACGCCUGGCUAAUUUUUUAUAUUUUUAGUAGAGACAGCGUUUCACCGUGUUAACCAGGAUGGUCUCGAUCUCCUGACCUCGUGAUCCGCCUGCCUCGGCCUCCCAAAGUGCUGGGAUUACAGGCGUGAGCCACUGCGCCCAGCCAAGCCUUGUAUAAUUUUCUAAAGAAGUUUCUAGGAUACAACAUUCCAGUGGAAAUGUCCCCAAGAGAACAAAUUGCUUCUCCUUAGUAUUUCUUCCAGCCUACCAACCACGGGGUCUCCUUUUCCUUUCUUCUUUUUGGUACCCUCUUGUUAUCCUAAUUACAGAGAGCAAAACAAAGAAUGUUCAUAAAGUGGUAAAACUCAAGUGGCAGAAGAUCAGAAUCCUCCUAUAAUAAUAUUGAGAAAUUGUCCAAGCUUUCUAAAGAGAGCUGCUUUGCAUGCAUUUUCACUUAAUCCUUCAAAAUACUCCCAUAUAAUGUAUAUUAUUACGUCACCAUUUUACAGAUGUAGAAACCGAGGAUCAGUGAUAUUAAAUAAAGUUGCCCAGGCCCAUCAAGCUAAUAAGUGUCAAUGCAGAGACUCAGACUCAGGGCUGUCUGAAUUCAAAGCCUGUGCUGUUGAAUGCCUUCUAACGCUGCCUCACAAAUCCUCAUUUAUUCAGGACUUACAUCAAUAUUAAACACUCUUCCUCCCCAGUCAGGCCUCUUCCUUGUUGCUGGGUGAGUGACCGUGCUGUUAG
rnacentral:lncRNA from 1 species